GUACACUCCUACGGGAGGCAGCAGUGGGGAAUAUUGCACAAUGGGCGCAAGCCUGAUGCAGCCAUGCCGCGUGUAUGAAGAAGGCCUUCGGGUUGUAAAGUACUUUCAGCGGGGAGGAAGGCGAUAAGGUUAAUAACCUUGUUGAUUGACGUUACCCGCAGAAGAAGCACCGGCUAACUCCGUGCCAGCAGCCGCGGUAAUACGGAGGGUGCAAGCGUUAAUCGGAAUUACUGGGCGUAAAGCGCACGCAGGCGGUCUGUCAAGUCGGAUGUGAAAUCCCCGGGCUCAACCUGGGAACUGCAUUCGAAACUGGCAGGCUAGAGUCUUGUAGAGGGGGGUAGAAUUCCAGGUGUAGCGGUGAAAUGCGUAGAGAUCUGGAGGAAUACCGGUGGCGAAGGCGGCCCCCUGGACAAAGACUGACGCUCAGGUGCGAAAGCGUGGGGAGCAAACAGGAUUAGAAACCCUGGUAGUCCCAUGAU
rnacentral:rRNA from 1 species